UACGUAGGCAGCGAGCGUUGUUCGGAAUUACUGGGCGUAAAGAGUGUGUAGGCGGUGCUCUAAGUUCGGUGUGAAAUCUCCUGGCUCAACUGGGAGGGUGCGCCGGAAACUGGAAUGCUUGAGCGUGGGAGAGGAAAGCGGAAUUCCUGGUGUAGCGGUGAAAUGCGUAGAUAUCAGGAGGAACACCGGUGGUGUAGACGGCUCACUGGACCGUAACUGACGCUGGAAACAACGAAAGCGUGGGUAGCAAACAGG
rnacentral:rRNA from 1 species